rnacentral:rRNA from 1 species
AACGAACGCUGGCGGCGUGCCUAACACAUGCAAGUCGUGCGAGAAAGUUCCUUCGGGAGCGAGUAAAGCGGCGCACGGGUGAGUAACACGUAGGUAACCUGCCCCCCAGUCUGGAACAACUAGAGGAAACUCUAGCUAAUGCCGGAUGAGACCACGAUCCCUUCGGGGGUUGCGGCCAAAGAUGGCCUCUACUUGUAAGCUAUCGCUGAGGGAUGGGCCUGCGGGCCAUUAGCUUGUUGGUGAGGUAACGGCUCACCAAGGCUGUGAUGGCUAGCUGGUCUGAGAGGAUGACCAGCCACACUGGGACUGAGACACGGCCCAGACUCCUACGGAGGCAGCAGUGGGGAAUAUUGCGCAAUGGCGAAAGCCUGACGCAGCGACGCCGCGUGGGUGAUGAAGGCCUUCGGUCGGUUAAA